AGUACGUAAGUUAAAUUGUAUUGUGUCUAUAAUGUUUUAUUAUACAAAUUUUCAUAUAAAAUAAAUAAAGAGUAAUGUAUAAAAAGAGAAUAGUAUGAUAUAUAGUACCUAUUUCGAAUUUAAAUUCUAUUUGGAGAGGAGAACGCAAGUGGCGCUAGUAGUUUCCGCGUUUUCCGCGUCGGUCGGUUUGAAUUCGCGUUUUAUUGCACGAAAUUGUGAAAAUUAUACAGGAAAGUGACUUCAAUUACUAUAAAUCUUUCUCAAAGAGUGAUUAAAAGGUUUAAUUCAACUACUGCGGCAAUAUAACGGGAAUAAAUCUAAGUGGAGUGAAGUAGGAAAGAAGUAGGAAGAGUAAAGCAACCGUUAAUUUAACAAAAUGGAAAGCAUUGUCGUAGGACCAAGUAAUUGAUUUCUCAAAGAUGCUCUGAAUGAAACUUUCCAGUGAAGCAGCCCCCAAUGGUCUUCCACUCUUGAGUUCUUUGUUCUCUGCUUGAAGAGAUUUAUUAUUAUCACCUAGACAGUGUCUAGACACAGAGCAAGUGUGUCAAAGAAUCUUCUACAAAGAGACCUUCAAAAUUGUUUUACUUUUACAUUGUAAGAAGCUCUUUACUGCAUCUGUAUUAUGAAAUUUGUGAUUAUGGACUUUCCUUUGUCCCUUACUUAAGAAGGAUCACUAUUAUCAUCAAAAUACUUUGCAGUAUCCUACAGUUAUACUUAUGACAUAGUUCCUGAUGCUGGUAGCUUCAGAUAACAAACAAAUUUGGAUAUUUGCUGUCAUUAACAAUAAUGGAAAAUUUCUGAUUGCGAGAGUCUUCAUGGGCAUAAGUUUGAAGUGUGAAGGUUAUCUGCUAUUCUUCAUGACUGACAGAUAUGAAUUUCGUGUCACGCAUGUACCUCAUGACUUGGCUCAUCUAUAGCUGUUCUACAUUUUUGGACACUGAUUUCUGUGUCCCCUCUUUGAAAUAAAUUUUUCUUCCUAGUUGAAUGCUGGAAUAUUCCAUCUUAGCAAAUCUUGCUUCAGAAUCUCUCUUAUAAUAAGAAUAAAAAAGCCAGAGAGUGUUAAAACUUGGUUCUCCCUACCACAGUAUUCUUUCUAUCAAAAUAAUGUAAUUUACUAAUUACGUAAUCGUGAUAAAGUGGUACACAUGUUCAUUUCAAUGUGGCAAUAAAGUAAUUAAAGUUCUAUGCUUCUCAGGCUUGCCUUUUAACCCAUAUUAUAUCACAUUGUUGAACUUACAUACAAAAUCAUCAUAAUUAGCUUUGAUAUGCAUGACUGACCUUAUUCGCCACUUGUUAACAAAUCUUUUACAUUAUCUCUCCGCUAUCUAUUUCAUUAAAUAGAAUCCUUGUACUUCAUUCAAAGCCAAGAUGAUUUCUCACUGCUGAUAUUCCAUGCAUUCCAGGGAAAUAAAAAUUUCACUAUUAAUCUAUCUUCACAAAAUAUUUACUUCUCGGUUGUCUAUCCUCAGAAAAGUCGAAGCAUGUUUGCGAAUUGAUUACAUUUGAGGCCGUCGCAGUAAAAAUAGACCAUGGCGUAUCUUUUCUGAACGUGAAUUUAUAAUUUUUAUUUAUUUCAACAAGUUGCAUGAGUCGUACAAAAAUGCCGAAAU